ACAAAGAGAAGCGACCUCGCGAGAGCAAGCGGACCUCAUAAAGUGCGUCGUAGUCCGGAUUGGAGUCUGCAACUCGACUCCAUGAAGUCGGAAUCGCUAGUAAUCGUGGAUCAGAAUGCCACGGUGAAUACGUUCCCGGGCCUUGUACACACCGCCCGUCACACCAUGGGAGUGGGUUGCAAAAGAAGUAGGUAGCUUAACCUUCGGGAGGGCGCUUACCACUUUGUGAUUCAUGACUGGGGUGAAGUCG
rnacentral:rRNA from 1 species